AUUGAACGCUGGCGGCAGGCCUAACACAUGCAAGUCGAACGAGUGGCGGACGGGUGAGUAAUGUCUGGGAAACUGCCUGAUGGAGGGGGAUAACUACGGGAAACGGUAGCUACUACCGCAUACCAUCGGAUGUGCCCAGAUGGGAUUAGCUAGUAGGUGGGGUAAAGGCUCACCUAGGCGACGAUCCCUAGCUGGUCUGAGAGGAUGACCAGCCACACUGGGACUGAGACACGGCCCAGACUCCUACGGGAGGCAGCAGUGGGGAAUAUUGCACAAUGGGGGCAAGCCUUAUGCAGCCAUGCCGCGUGUAUGAAGAAGGCCUUCGGGUUGUAAAGUUCUUUCGGCGGAGAGGCGUUACCCGCAGAAGAAGCACCGGCUAACUCCGUGCCAGCAGCCGCGGUAAUUC
rnacentral:rRNA from 1 species